rnacentral:rRNA from 1 species
AGACGUCUACAUUAGAUACCCGGGUAGUCCCAGCCGUAAACUAUGCGCGUUAGGUGUAUCGGUGACCACGAGUCACCGAGGUGCCGAAGGGAACCGUGAAACGUGCCGCCUGGGAAGUACGGUCGCAAGGCUGAAACUUAAAGGAAUUGGCGGGGGAGCACCACAACAGGUGGAGCCUGCGGUUUAAUUGGACUCAACGCCGGGAAGCUCACCGGAUAGGACAGCAGAAUGAUUGCCGGGCUGAAGACCCUGCAUGACUAGCUG